GGCUCAUUAAAUCAGUUAUCGUUUAUUUGAUAGUACCUUACUACUUGGAUAACCGUGGUAAUUCUAGAGCUAAUACAUGCUAAAAACCCCAACUUCGGGAGGGGUGUAUUUAUUAGAUAAAAAACCAAUGCCCUUCGGGGCUCCUUGGUGAUUCAUGAUAACUUCUCAGAUCGCAUAGCCUUGAGCUGGCGACGGUUCAUUCAAAUUUCUGCCCUAUCAACUUUCGAUGGUAAGGUAGUGGCUUACCAUGGUUUCAACGGGUAACGGGGAAUUAGGGUUCGAUUCCGGAGAGGGAGCCUGAGAAACGGCUACCACAUCCAAGGAAGGCAGCAGGCGCGCAAAUUACCCAAUUCCGAUACGGAGAGGUAGUGACAAUAAAUACUGAUACAGGGCUCUUUUGGGUCUUGUAAUUGGAAUGAGUACAAUUUAAACCUCUUAACGAGGAACAAUUGGAGGGCAAGUCUGGUGCCAGCAGCCGCGGUAAUUCCAGCUCCAAUAGCGUAUAUUAAAGUUGUUGCAGUUAAAAAGCUCGUAGUUGAACCUUUGGCCUGGCUGGCAGGUCCGCCUCACCGCGUGCACUUGACCGGCCGGGCCUUUCUUUCUGGAGAACCGCAUGCCCUUCACUGGGUGUGUUGGGGACCAGGACUUUUACUUUGAAAAAAUUAGAGUGUUCAAAGCAGGCCUUUGCUCGAAUACGUUAGCAUGGAAUAAUAGAAUAGGACGUCGCGGUCCUAUUUUGUUGGUUUCUAGGACCGCCGUAAUGAUUAAUAGGGACAGUCGGGGGCAUCAGUAUUCAAUUGUCAGAGGUGAAAUUCUUGGAUUUAUUGAAGACUAACUACUGCGAAAGCAUUUGCCAAGGAUGUUUUCAUUAAUCAGUGAACGAAAGUUAGGGGAUCGAAGACGAUCAGAUACCGUCGUAGUCUUAACCAUAAACUAUGCCGACUAGGGAUCGGGCGGUGUUUCUAAUGUGACCCGCUCGGCACCUUACGAGAAAUCAAAG
rnacentral:rRNA from 1 species